AAAGUGCGGCUUUAUAAACGAGUACUUUAUAGCCCGAGCCGUAGGCGAGGGCUAUAACGUACGAGUUUAUAACACCGCACUUUUAACCCGUGUCACAUAUACUGUUUUUCGUAAAUUAUGUGUAUAAAGAGCUCAUUAUACAACUAUAAUCAAGGGCAAAAAUCAGUAGUUAAGUAAUUCUUAUUUGUGAAGAUUUUCUAGAAAUUAAACUCAUCAACGAAGAUGGUCCGUUUGAAGCGAGCAUAAUAUUUAACCGUUCAACUAGUGCCUACGAGCAAGCACGUACAUACUAGCUAAAUGGUUUAGUGGUGUUUUGUUUUGGUUUUACUUUCAAUUUGCAUCGUGAUUUUGGAUCGGUAGUUAAGUAAUUCAUAUUUGUGAAGAUUUUCUAGAAAUUAAACUCAUCAAAGAAGAUGGUUCGUUUGAAGCGAGCAUUAUAUUUAACCGUUCAACUAGUGCCUACGAGCGAGCACAAUAUGCUAAACGGUUUAGUUGUGUUUUGUUUUAGUUUUACUUUCAAUUCUAGUCAACGAAGAUGGUCCGAACUUGGUAUACCUAUCGAUAAUUAUUGAUAGCACUGAAGAACAAUCAACAAAUUACAACACUAGACAAAUCUUCCGGAAUGUAUCAACUUGAAUAAACUACCUAGGUAUAUGAAGUCACUGAAGUAAAAGAUUUUGAAUGAGUAAGUUAGCUACGAUGAAAAUAACACAAUUUAGAUCGAAUGGAAGACGUUAUCAGUGUUUUUAGAUGAUAUUUGGAUGUAGAUACUUGAGAGUUAAAUAUGUAGAACAAAAACUCAUCGUAACUUAAUACUACUACCUUCCGUUUGUAAUUACUUACAAUUAGGAUGAUACUUAUUACUUAGAACAAAUACAAACGAGUUCGUCAUUGACAGCAUAACUUCUCUCAAUCUUUAGUUCAAGUAUAUUAUUUGUUCGUUCAUCUUCAGUAACAUUUUCUACAUUGACUUAUGCCAGUAGUAAAUUUCAAUAUUCAAUACUUUCAUCAAACAUUUCACCUUACUUACCGUGCAGAACUAAAUUGUGUUAUUUUCAUCAUAGCUAUUCAAGUUGAUAAAUUCCGGCAGAAUUGUCUAGUGUUGCUGUUGUAAUAUUUGUUGAUUGUUCUUCGGUGUUAUCAAUCAUCAAUAUACAUAUGAAGCUCGGACCGUCUUCGUUGAUGAGUUAAUUUUCUAGAAAAUCAGGUACUAUGACAAUAAAUGAAAACAAUUUAGAAAUCUAGAUCGAAUGAGAAAAUUAUCAGCGUUUUUAAGUGAUAUUCGAACAGUAGAAAUGUGACAUUUUCAUGAUUAAAGUGUAUUGAUUAUUUCAA